AGGGUAAUAGGGCAGCGGUGAUUGUUUGCAAGUUUUUGAGCACAAACACGGAGGAGUACUUUCUAGAGGAGCUGAAAACUUUCGUAUUCCGACAAAAUUGUUUGCUCCUUGACUUCGUGGCAACGGAUAUCUUAAAAUUGAAACUGCCUCUACUGACAUCGGUGUUCGGGUGGUCAGCAACUUACUUGUUGAUCUCAAUCCAAAUUCGAAACGCUGUUUCCGUUUUGUAAAUAAAUUAGAAUAAAAUGUAAAAAAUAAAAGAGAAAAAACUUACUUCCAAUAGAUCCAAUUAUCACCUCAUGCUGUACUCCCCUUCUUUUGAUGUAAUAUGAAA